rnacentral:rRNA from 1 species
AUUGAACGCUGGCGGCAUGCUUUACACAUGCAAGUCGAACGGCAGCGCGGAGAAGCUUGCUUCUCUGUCGGCGAGUGGCGAACGGGUGAGUAUAGCAUCGGAACGUGCCAAGUAGUGGGGGAUAACCAAACGAAAGUUUGGCUAAUACCGCGUAAGCUCUAAGGAGGAAAGUAGGGGACCUAAAUAAGGCCUUACGCUAUUUGAUCGGCCGAUGUCGGAUUAGCUAGUUGGUGGGGUAAUGGCUCACCAAGGCAAUGAUCCGUAGCGGGUCUGAGAGGACGAUCCGCCACACUGGGACUGAGACACGGCCCAGACUCCUACGGGAGGCAGCAGUGGGGAAUUUUGGACAAUGGGGGAAACCCUGAUCCAGCCAUGCCGCGUGUAUGAAGAAGGCCUUAGGGUUGUAAAGUACUUUUGUUAGGGAAGAAAAGCUAGUUUUUAAUAAAAAUUAGUGAUGACGGUACCUAAAGAAUAAGCACCGGCUAACUACGUG